AUCCAGCCGACGAGUCCCAAAUAAAACAAAAUGCACAUCCUGGAU
rfam:Trichobilharzia regenti genome assembly, scaffold: TRE_contig0030322